AUGAAUUUAGUAUAAGUAUAUAUCAUUUACAAUGAUAAGGUCUAAAUAAUAGAAUUCAUUAAUAAAUAUUUAAAAAAAAUUUAUUUGGUUACUUUACCUUUUGCAUAAUGGUUUAAUAAAAAAAAUUAAAUAAUUUUACCCGAAGUUAAAAGAUCUAAUUUUUUAGAAAAUAUUAAAUAAUGUUUCAAAAUUAUUAUUUAGCAAAAAUUAGGGGUGAAAGGCUUAUCAAUUUUAUGGAUAUCUGGAAUAAUUUUAAAUGUAUUUAGUACAAAAUAAAAUUUGAAUAAAAAAAUGUUAAUUUUUUUAUAAAGAAUUAAAAUAAAUUUAAUUAAGGAUUAAUCUUCGAUUAAAAUAAAAAAAAUUUUUCAUUAUAUAAAUCUUUAUAAUAAAAUUAUAUUUUAUAUUAUUAAAAAAUUAACUAUGUUAAAAUUAGUAUAAAUUUUAUUAUUUUUUUAAGGAACUCGGCUUUCAUCUGUUUAUCAAAAACAUAGCCUUAUGAGUAUAUAAGGUAAAACCUGCCCACUGAUUUUUAACGGCCGCAGUACUUUGACUGUGCUAAGGUAGCAUAAUAAAUUGACUCUUAAUUGGGGCCUUGAAUGAAAGGAUUAAUGGACAAUUUCUGUCUUAUUUAAAUUAAUUUUAAAUUACUUAAAAGGUGAAAAUUCCUUUAUUUUAAUAAAAUAGACGAGAAGACCCUAGGAGUUAUUUUGUUGGGGCGACAAUAUAGCAUAACCUAUAAAUUAUAAUUAACGAAAUAUUUUAAUAAUAACUUAACUACCCUAGGGAUAACAGCAUAAUUUUAUUUAAAGUUUGUGACCUCGAUGUUGGACUAGGAACUUUUAAAGCUAAUAGCGUUAA
rnacentral:rRNA from 1 species